rnacentral:rRNA from 1 species
AAUGAACGCUGGCGGCGUGCUUAACACAUGCAAGUCGUGCGCGAAGGAGGCUUCGGUCUCUGGAGAGCGGCGAACGGGUGAGUAACACGUGGGUGAUCUGCCUGGGAGCGGGGGAUAACCUGGGGAAACUCGGGCUAACACCGCAUACGCUGUUGGGGCUUACGGGUUCUGACAAGAAAGCUGGCCUCUGCUUGCAAGCUAGCGCUCCCAGAGGCGCCCGCGGCUGAUUAGCUAGUUGGGGGGGUAAAGGCCCACCAAGGCGACGAUCAGUAGCCGGCCUGAGAGGGUGAUCGGCCACACUGGGACUGAGACACGGCCCAGACUCCUACGGGAGGCAGCAGUGGGGAAUAUUGGACAAUGGGCGCAAGCCUGAUCCAGCAACGCCGCGUGGAGGAUGAAGGUCUUCGGAUCGUAAACUCCUGUCAGAGGGGACGAAGGUCUGGGGGUGAAUAGUCCCCAGGCUUGACGGUACCUUCAGAGGAAGCCCCGGCUAACUCCGUGCCAGCCGCCGCAGUAAGAC